GAGUGAGGCUGACGGACGGACUCCUCCUCCUUUUUCUACCCCUCCAGGUUCUCGUCACCUUUAUGCAGAGUGACCUUUACACACACUAAACUUCAUAUCUUCAUACCAGAUGCGGUGCUAGCAUCCCCAGCCUCAAACUGUCCCACCGACAUCCUAAAUAUGUCUGCGACCAGCUGUGGUGGAGCUUCAGCCUCUGUAUAUUCACAGUGUGAGCGUGUCUGAGUGUGUGUGUCUGAGUGUGUGUGUGUCUGCAGAGGGGAGGAGACACACUUCACAGCUGAGAGAAGAACCGAGACAACGAGCGACUCCUGAUGCUCCAUCAUCCCUCCGUCCAGUCUCUCCAUCACCACCAUCCGUCUGUUUUUCCAGCUUUAAACUUCAGCUCUAAAUGUUCCUCUGGAUUUAUCUGAUCUUCUUCUGCAGCUGCACUCAUGUGAAACUCUCAGAACAGUGGAUCUAAAAAGCCUAAAACCAACUGACUGAGCAAAGGAUGUUGACCCUGUAGGUCAGCCACCCGCAGAUCCAACACGCCAUGACCAGCGUCAACUCUCCAGCCUGUCUGCUCGCCCGCAACCACUUCUACAGAAAUUUACCCUCCAGUCCGGAGCCUUCACCGGCUGUGUUCAGCUGUCAGAGCGACUCCGUCAAACAGAGACAGGUCACCCUCUGGGUCACCAUGGCAACGCCUCCUGGAUUACCAUGUGGCAUUGGAACCAAAAGCUUAUGGGUCAACAUUGACCUGGGAUUUUCCUCCUCUCUUCCCUUCUCCACCUCUAAACCAACCAACCCCGCCGACCGGGGCGUCAAGUAGAAGAGAACAAGUCCACCUCGUUGGUUCAUAGACUGAAGGGGAGUGAAGGAAUCAGGAUUGCUUUAACUUCCCAUUUCUCAGCCGUCUCGGCUUUGACAGCCUGGAUCAAAUGGACAAACAUGGACAAAGUGGACAACUUCCUAGAAAAAGACAUUUAAAAUGUCACUGUGGCAGAAGCUCCUGAUGUUUGUUCCUGUCGAUGCUGUCAGAGGAAACUGAUUGAAAUAUGAAAUUGGAGGCCUCGAGUGGACAGGGAGUGUACAGCUGCACCAGCAGCUUUUUUCAGAGCUGAUUCAAUUAAUUAAAAGUACUGCAAUUAUGGUAAAUACAAAUUUAGAGCUGCAAAGGUUAUCUGAUCAAUCGAUUAGUUGAUUUUGAUAAUUGAUUAAUUUUUCUGAGCAAAAAUCCCCAAAAUCUGACGGUUCAAAUCUCAAAUGUGAGAAUUUACUGUAGGCUGUAGGACUGUUUUGAUUGUGAUGUUUUCCACUGUUUUAUAGACCAAAGGAUUAACUGAGAAAAUAAUUAGAUGAAUUUGAUCCCUGGAAUGAACCCUAAUCGUAUCUUAUGAUUCGUUUUGCAGGAUUUUGAUGCUGUUGGUUCUCUUCUUGAUAAUUUUGUUUCUUGUUCAGAAUAGUAAUUAUUAUUUAGGCACCAAUGACUAACAGGUCUGUGAUUCAAACAUCUCUGACAUCGGUGUAUUCACACUACUUCUCAGAGCGUCUCUGAACUGUCACCCUGCUGCAUUUAACAUGUCUGAACAUGAAAGAAAGAAGGAGCGCAGCGGUCUGAGGUUUAAACAAACAUUGUGGUGCAUCGAGUUCGUUUAUUCAUAUCUGCACUUUUGUUCCUCCACUCCUUUAGUCACGAACAAAUGAAGUGUGACAGAGAGUUAGGUCAUGUUGUCCAGCCACCAUCAGUGUCUAGUUUCACCAGUCUUUCAAAUACCCACAAAUAAAUGAAAACCUUUGAGGUUAAAGCAACAUUAAGUAACUAUUUAACCUUAAAGCCUCAGCUUCAGAGUCACAGUGAUGGUUCAGUGUAACAGGGAGAAUGGAGCCUCUGUUGUGUCUCUGUGUACCUGUGGUUGUUCAGGUUGGAUCUCCCUCUGACUGAGUGAGAGUCAGCAGCUUAAACUGCUGGAAUCAGACCAGAGAGUUCAGAGAGAAGCUGAACUGGAGAUCAGUUAAAGAGACUGGAAGUUAUUAAACACCAGCGUUCACCAAAGAAAAGAACACGGCUGGAGGAUCAGCCAGAUCACAUUUGGAGGCUUGGAUUGCGAUUGAAUCUCAUUCAGGUGUAAAUGCAACCAGGUGUAAAACAUGACCACUUUCUUUACGACAAAAACCCAACCAGGAAGUUGAAAGGUCACCUAACUCCACCUCUUCCUGCUGAGCUCAGACGGGCCCGGCAUUCCAGACAGAACAGAUAUGCGAAAGUCCAAAACUGCUCGGGGGAAAAUUACUGAUGGACGAUUCAUCAUUUAAGUCAUUUAUCAAGCAAAAACUCUAAACAUUCUUCAGCUUUUUGUAUGAUCACUUUUUUAUUAAUGACUGGAAAAAACAAACCCUCCAAAGACAUCCUGGAUGUUUCACUUAUUUCACAGUCUCUUGCACAUCUGAAUUAUCUCUGUGAGGUGUGUAGCAGCAAGAAAAAGUUCUUUACUGAGCAUUAGAGGACAGGACUAAAAAAAGUAUCAAUUCAUUGACAAAAAAUAGAUUACCACCUUACAGUUCUAUGCCUCUGCCCACCAGUCCAGUUCUAGUUAAUUAUGUGUGGAUACUCUGCCUCAAGUGUUUUGUGACGUUGCAGAGUCUUCCAGAUCUAAUGAGUUCAUCUUCGAGUCCUGGUGCAGGUCUGUGCCAAACUUGAAGAAAUUCCUUCGAGGCAAUCUUGAGAUAUCACAUUCAAGAAGUCAAAAACAUGUUCUCUGAGGUCACACUGACACUGACCUCUGACCUUUGACCUCUAACCACCAAAAUCCCCUUCAUCUUUCAGCCCAAGUGAACGUUUGUACCAAAUUUGCCAAAUUUCUCGUUGCUGUUACUGAGAUAUCACGUUCACAAGAAUGAGAGUGACAAACUAUUGUUGGAAUUAUUAUCAGUCGUAUCACCCAGAAAAACAAAAUGCUCAGAGACAGGAGGAGGAGAGGGAGACUGACGGACCGAUGAAGAGACAAAUCGACUCCUUCACUCCCACUUUUCGAUGACCCCCUCCGAGCACCCGCUGACCUGGAAAAACUGCAGCGUGGGAGUGACGGCCGGCCGCUCUGCUCUUCAAACGGUCAGCACAGAACAAAUCCUCUUUUCAAGCUUUCAGCCCUGUCAUGCAGAGAGGCCACAGCAGCAGCAGCAGCAGCAGCGUCGCCCAUUGUUUGUCUUUCCUCUGUUUCAUAGAGACAGACAGAGACUGAGGGGAUAAAUAGGGGACAGUGGUGCUUAAACAAACCCAUUUUACAGUCAACUGGGAAAAUCCUUGCGUCAGGAUUUGUGCUGCACUGCAGUCAGCAGGGAGAUUAUUCUCCGCAUGUCAGGAUAACUUGUGUGAGCCAAAAGAUAAAAAGGAGCUUGUGGGGUUGUCAAUUGAAAAGGCCUUGAUCAAAAACACUGUGAUGACCGCUCCUAGUAACAGUAAGACUUGAAUUUAGGGCUGUAACAGACAAUUCUAAUUAUCAAUUCAUCAGCUGAACAUUUUCUCCAUAAAAUCAAUCGAUUAGAAAACCAAUAUCAUUGGAAAGCAGUGAAUAUUCACAUUUUGAAAACUGGAAUCAAAGUUUUGCAGCAUUUUCUCUUUAAAGAUUAAUUUAAUUUAACCAACUGACUAAUCAGCUAAUUAUUUCAGCUCUUGACAGACAGAUGUUUCAGUUCAAUUCAACAUAAUAAACACAGAUAAAUCUGCUGUAGGAAACUUUGAAUGUAACAUGUGAUUAGUGCUUGAAAUCUGGCCUGAGGACAUAUGGAGAUGAAUCACAGUUUUCAACACUGCUGUCGAGGUGACUCAUGUUAUAGUGCAGCCCAGUCAGCUAGAAAAAGUGCAGCAGUCAGCUCUUUGAUAUCACAUUAGUGCGAGAGGACAGAAGCCAAAAGAUGCAAGAAACUGUAUCUUGUUUCCAGUGAGCCGACUCCUAUCGACUGGGUUUAUUAACGCAGACGCAGAAUAUACACAGAGUUGAUGCUUUGAGUUGAGGCCCUGACUUUGUCACCUCCUGCAGUGAUGAUGAUAACGCCUGAAACUGCGUCGGAUAUAAGCCCAGUGCAGGCCAGAGACCAGAGACCAGAGACCAGCUGAAUCUGUGCCAACAUCGCUCUGUUUGUUCUUCAUAUUGUGCUGAUACCAGCCACCACGUCUGUUCCCUAACAAAGCAGCUAAUGUACUGCAUCAAGUGAAGCGUGAGGAAUAAAUCUGAACCCAGCGACAAACUGAACACAACAUGUAGGAAAUUUAACCAGAGAAACUGAAACAGUGUUAAAACGAGGUAAGACUAGAAACAGCCUGGAUUCAAAUACUCACUUUUUAACCUACAUUUACUACAAUCACCACAGUCUCCACUCACAACCUGAGAGCUGAGUUUUGUCCGUAAAGUCUCUGGUGAUGAAGCCCCGUGUUUAACAGGUUUAAUGACUGAUGAUAAAAGAGGCAAGAUGAGCAGCUGAUCAGUGAGUUUAAUGUUGACACUGCAGCAGAAUAGAUCAUGGACGAAGUCAUGCUACAGAUGCUGUUUCAAACUUCAGCAGCAGCUUCCCAUCUUAGCUCACGACACAAAACCAGAACCAGGCCAAGGCUGUUAGCAUAACCAGCUCCUACCUUAUGAUGUGAAGCAGUGGUCCUGAGCAGCUCGAGCUAAACCUGAGGAGACGCCAUGGUGGUCUCAAACAUCAGGAGUACUUCCGGUGUGUAUUAGGCCGCCAGGUGAUUUGGGGAAGUUGCUAAAUCGCGGUAUAAGCAGGUAAAAGCCAAACAAACUGGAGCCUUUUCCUCUGUAAGAAAACAGUCCUGAUGUUACAUUAGCGUGUUUAUGUGAUGCUACGGGAACGUUAAUGAUAGAAAAAUAUGUUUAGCACAGAACAACAACUGGGAUGAAGCAACCAAACGAGGCGGAGACGUGACUGAUCACGUGACGUCCACACCUGCGUAUUCAUGCAAUUAUCAAAUCAGCCAAUCGCGUGGGAGCAGUGCAACAGGCCUAAAUAAAGUGAUACAGGUUCAGUUUCUCUUCACAUCAAACAUCGGAAAUGUGGAAAAAUUAUUUCAGACUUUGACUGUUGGUGCCAGAUGAGCUCUGAGUCUUUCUAUAAUGUGAUAAUAAUGUGACGCAGUCAUGUCAACAUGGAGCAAAAUGUCAAAGGAAAGUUUCCAAGGUCUUGUGGAAACUGUGCUACACAGACCUGAGGCUGUGUUAGAGCAACAGGAGGCCCUGCUUCAUAUUAGUAUGGUGUUCCUAAUAAAGUGCUCAUGUUGUUGGGCAUAAAGUUUGUCGUGUGAUUGGGGCAGGAUUUUAUCUGAUCAUAUACUACACUGGUACCAUGUUGGCUGUUUGUUUGCAGGAGUUGAAAUCUUGCAGAUGUGGGCAGUUGAACCCAGUUUGGUUCGGUUUUAAAUCCAUAGGGGCUGUUGGACUGUUUCCAGAUGUGGUGACAGAGCAACAGUUACACAACUCCAGUCUCUGGGUUCACCAGCAUCUGCAGUUAGAGGACAUGAAGUGCUGCUCUCUCACUGUUUACUUUGCUCCUGGAAUAGCCCUGUACAAAACCAGUGAACCACUCCCUGGCAAACACACACACUUUCACCUCCAGGUCCUUAUAGGGCUGUUUCCACCCAACAGCUGUGGACACAUCACUUUGCAAAUCACAAAGUGUGUUCUGAAAUGUGUAGUGGGACAAAUGCUGUAUCCAAACUAAAGUUCUGUAGUGAUAUUUUAACAAAUGUGGCUGGUAAUUGUUCACUUGAGGCACAUUUUUGCCUUAAAUGUGGAAACCAACAAACAGAAAACCCAACACACCACAUUAGGCUGCUAGAGUCUACUUUAUUGCAUUUGCAAUCACAGGGUGACAAAGUGAAAAAUGUUAACAAAGGCAUGUGGAGGUGUAUGCACCACAGUGUGUCUAUGCACCACAGUAUUACAAACACAGAACAGUACAAAUGUUAAAAAAAAGGAGCUUAUCAGUUGCAUCAUCGUUUUUUUUUUUUUUUUUUUUUUUUUUUUUUUGCUUUUCAGUUCUUUUUUUGUUGUUGUUGUCAAUAAAAAAACACAAGGUUACCAAAACAAAAACAAGUAAGGCAGCCUGUACUACAAUGAAUAAUAAUAAUAAAAAAACAACAACAAAAAAAACUAAUAAGU